AGCCCGACCCUAGCUCGGUCAACUUUCAUGACAAAAAUAACUAAAAACUCAUUAUACCUACACAACCAAAACAUUUCCUAAACCUAGUAUAGGCGAUAGAAAAGUGCUCCUCCGACGCGAUAGAAAUUUGUACCGUAAGGGAAAGAUGAAAUAAAAAUGAAAAAACAAAGCAAGAAAAAGCAAAGAUUAACCCUUGUACCUCUUGCAUCAUGAUUUAGUAAGAACAACCGAGCAAAAUGAAUUUUAGUUCGCCGCCCCGAAACCCAAGCGAGCUACCUGCAAGCAGCUAUUUCCUUGAGCAAACCCGUCUCUGUUGCAAAAGAGUGGGAUGACUUGCUGGUAGGGGUGAAAAGCCUAUCGAGCUGGGUGAUAGCUGGUUGCCUGUGAAACGAAUCUAAGUUCCGCCUUAAUCUCCUCCACACGGAUAUUCACCGUAACCUCCGAUGUAGUGAAUUAGGAGUAAUUUAAAGGAGGUACAGCUCCUUUAAAAAAGAACAUCCUCCUCUAGCGGAUAAGUACUCACCUCUUCCCCUCUUUGUAGGCCUUCAAGCAGCCACCAACAGAGAGUGCGUCAAAGCUCCAUACAAAAAAAUAUAAAAAUAGUACAACUCCCUUUCCCCUAACAGGCCAGCCUAUAACAAUAGAAGAAUCAAUACUAGAAUGAGUAACUAGGGAACCCCUCUCAAGCGUAAACUUACAUUUCCCCAUAAUCAUUAACAAACUUUAACUAGAUACUUCAACUACUCUAAAACUUAAAUAUCAAUUUAUUUUGUUAACCCAACCUAGGAGCGCCUAUUAGAAAGAUUAACAUCUGUAAAAGGAACUAGGCAAACUUAAGGCCCGACUGUUUACCAAAAACAUAGCCUUCAGCAAACCAAGUAUUGAAGGUGAUGCCUGCCCAGUGACAGUACGUUUAACGGCCGCGGUAUCCUAACCGUGCGAAGGUAGCGCAAUCAAUUGUCUCAUAAAUCGAGACAUGUAUGAAUGGCUAAACGAGGUCUUAACUGUCUCUUACAGAUAAUCAGUGAAAUUGAUCUUCCUGUGCAAAAGCAGGAAUAAGCACAUAAGACGAGAAGACCCUGUGGAACUUAAAAAUCAACGACCACAACACAAACCUAUUACCCCAUCACAAUGGCAUAUCCUACUUUAAUCGCUGGCCCGUAUUUUUCGGUUGGGGCGACCUUGGAGAAAAACAAAUCCUCCAAAAAUAAGACCUUCCUCUUAAUCAAGAGCAACCCCUCAACGUACUAACAGUAACCAGACCCAAUACAAUUGACUAAUGGACCAAGCUACCCCAGGGAUAACAGCGCAAUCCCCUCCAAGAGCCCCUAUCGACGAGGGGGUUUACGACCUCGAUGUUGGAUCAGGACAUCCUAAUGGUGCAGCCGCUAUUAAGGGUUCGUUUGUUCAACGAUUAACAGUCCUACGUGAUCUGAGUUCAGACCGGAGUAAUCCAGGUCGGUUUCUAUCUAUGAUGAACUUAUCCUAGUACGAAAGGACCGGAGAAGUGGGGCCCAUACUCCAAGCAUGCCCUACUUACAAGCAAUGAACCCAACUAAAUUGCUAAAAACACACCCACUCAUCCAUUUAUCCUAGAAAAGGAUA
rnacentral:rRNA from 1 species